rnacentral:rRNA from 1 species
UGGCUCAGAACGAACGCUGGCGGCAGGCUUAACACAUGCAAGUCGAGCGCCCCGCAAGGGGAGCGGCAGACGGGUGAGUAACGCGUGGGAAUCUACCCUUGACUACGGAAUAACGCAGGGAAACUUGUGCUAAUACCGUAUGUGUCCUUCGGGAGAAAGAUUUAUCGGUCAAGGAUGAGCCCGCGUUGGAUUAGCUAGUUGGUGGGGUAAAGGCCUACCAAGGCGACGAUCCAUAGCUGGUCUGAGAGGAUGAUCAGCCACAUUGGGACUGAGACACGGCCCA